CUCCCACCUCAGACUCCUGAGCAGCUGGGACCACAGCAAAUAUUCUCAGAGCUCUUUGUGAUAUCUUGGGGAAAACAGUCAAGAAGGCAGAUAAACGGAAUGACAAUGUUUUGGCAAAGUGACUUAGAAGGGUGAGGCGUGGCUUAGGCCUAGGAAGCAUCUGAUACGUGGCACCCUGGCCCUGUGAAUUUGGGCAGGGCAGCCAGGGCUGGGUUGUUCCUGUAGGUCAGAGUGAGGAAACAGACAGAAAACGACCGACGGUCUGUGCACGCGGAAGUGAACAGCCACUUGGGGCCACCACAGACUGCGGUACUUUCUUCACAGCCCUAUCAAGACGAACCUUCCCUGUCUUAUCAUAGUAGGCUGGAUUUUGGACACAGCAAGAAAGCAGGGAACUGCUGACACUCCUAGCCUCUGCUGCAUGGCCCAGAAGAGUUGUGUCCAAGUCCAGUUCCUCAGUGAAACCUCAUGACAACACGGAAAGGAGGGUGAGAAGGGUGAGAAGCCGUUCACUGUGUUUACUUGUGAGGAAACGAGAACAGUAGUGAGCAGGGGACUUUCUUCCUCUGUUCUGAAUUGGGUACAGAUCAGUCAGGGUGGAGAGUCAACAGCUAAGAGUCCAAUUGGGCCAUUUAACAGAAUUUGAUGAAGGACCAUGUGUAAAGCAUGGAUAGGAUACAGAGAAAUGUUACAGACAGUCCUCUGGACGAUAAACAGUGGGCACCAUGACUAGCCUUGGGCUGGGAGGGAGGAAGAGGGGGGUGGUGACUUGGAGAGAUGGAACUCUUGGGCACAUCCCCUGGCAGAAGCUGAAACCUUUGGGAGAGGAAUGCAGCUGGCCCAUGACUCUGUAAGGAGAAGCCUGGGUGGUUAAUGGCCUGACCCCUUUCUCCUCUGCCAGCUCCCACCAGCCAGCCCAGCAAGAAGCCAGAGGGCAAGGGGACCCAGAGCAGGGUGGCAGCAGAUGAAGGAGGGAGGCAUGAAUCAGGGAAAGUGGAGGGAAGAUACCAACACACUGUGGGGGUUCUGUAGGGUUUAUAUCUUUGGCAAUAAGAAUGUAUGUGUAUAUUUUCUGUGAAACACACACGUAGAUUCCUAGGCAAAUCAGCUUCUAAAUGAAAAGCCACCAUGACCCGUAUCUCUCUGGGACUAGCCUAUCUACUCGAGAAAUGCAUGUUACAUUUCUGUGAAAACACACAUUUUUAAAUCUUCCAUAGGAAUGUUAAUGGAAUCCUUGCAUGUUAAUCUUGAAAUAUUUUUAAUUUUUUUUUUUUUUCAGUAAGAGAAACAUACAGUUAAUGAGGGCCCCCGACUUAUUUUAUUUUUGUAUGGACUCUAAAGUGUGUACCAAGGAUUGACCUAAAAUAAAAUCACUUCAUUGAAACGCUAGCACAGCCACCUGCUCGUAUCCCAAGCAAAGCGAUUUUAGAAGUUCAUUUGAGCCUGGCAUGGUGGCUCAUGCCUGUAAUCCCAGCACUUAGAGAGGCCAAGGCAGGUGGAUCACUUAGGCCCAGGUGUUCAAGACCAGCCUGGGCAACAUGGCAGGAUCCCAUUUCUACAAAAAAUAAAAAAAUUGGCUGGGCAUGGUGGUGUGUGCCUGUGGUCCCAGCAGCAUGAGAGUCUGUGGUGGGAGGAUUGCUAGAGUCCAAGAGGUCGAGGCUACAGUGAGCCGUGUGUGUGAAACACAGUGAGACCCCAUCUCAAAAAAAUUUUUUUUUUCAAAUUCAGGAAUAAUUUUUCUGAAAUCCUACCGUUAACAUUUUUACUGAACAUCCUCUGAGACCUAGCUCUAUAGACGUGUGAAUAUAAGGAAAGAAUUUUACAUAAGCGAGAUUGAUUGACAUCUGCUGUUCUAUAUCUCGUUUUCUGCAAUCAACCAUAUAUUGCAUCAUCUUUCCACUUAUAUAAAUCUAAGUCUCAUGAUC